AUUGGUGCAAGUGUUAAGGUAAUACACCUACAAAUAUCAGCAUUGCCUGGAACUGCAAGAAUUCUUCGCAGGGUAGUUGAAGCAUGACCAGUAAACAAGUAUCACCUUAGUCUGCGGGCUGUGGACAGCUGAAACUUUCCGUUAACCCAGCAAAUAAGCUUUGAGUUUUCAUGUAAUAAUAAUAAUAAUAAUAAUAAUAAUAAUAAUAAUAAUAAUAAUGAUAAUAAUAAUAAGAAUUUAGAAGACACUU